rnacentral:rRNA from 1 species
UACGGAGGAUCCAAGCGUUAUCCGGAUUUAUUGGGUUUAAAGGGUGUGUAGGCGGCCUGUUAAGUCAGGGGUGAAAGACGGUAGCUCAACUAUCGCAGUGCCCUUGAUACUGAUGGGCUUGAAUGUACUAGAGGUAGGCGGAAUGUGACAAGUAGCGGUGAAAUGCAUAGAUAUGUCACAGAACACCAAUUGCGAAGGCAGCUUACUAGGCUGUAACUGACGCUGAGGCACGAAAGCGUGGGGAGCGAACAGG